GGCUUUGUAGUGUAGUGGUUAUCACUCAAGAUUUUGACUUCUAGUCACAUUCUUGAAACCCCAGUUCGAAUCUGGGCAAGGCCU